rnacentral:rRNA from 1 species
CCUACGGGAGGCAGCAGUGGGGGAUAUUGCACAAUGGGGGAAACCCUGAUGCAGCGACGCCGCGUGGGUGAAGAAGCGCCUCGGCGCGUAAAGCCCUGUCAGCAGGGAAGAAAAUGAUGGUAUCUGAAGAAGAAGCCCCGGCUAAAUACGUGCCAGCAGCCGCGGUAAUACGUAGGGGGCAAGCGUUAUCCGGAUUUACUGGGUGUAAAGGGGGCGCAGACGGCGAUGCAAGCCAGGAGUGAAAGCCCGGGGCCCAACCCCGGGACUGCUCUUGAUACUGCGUGGCUAGAGUGCAGGAGGGGCAGGCAGAAUUCCUGGUGUAGCGGUGAAAUGCGUAGAUAUCAGGAGGAACACCGGUGGCGAAGGCGGCCUGCUGGACUGAAACUGACGUUGAGGCCCGAAAGCGUGGGGAGCAAACAGGAUUAGAUACCCGAGUAGUC